GAUAUAGUUAUAUUUCAUCAUGUUCUACUGCCUAGGUAGUUAUUUUUAGAGUGACCAUCAAAUAUAGAAAAUGCUAGAAAUUUGAAUGGCUAUGGUGACUCUUCAGCCCUAAAGAACAUUUGAGGCUGCAAAAGGGCAUCAACUUGGCAAAAAUGUGAACUCCUACUCAUGAUGGAAAAAUCACAUCAAGUUUUCUAGCUUCUGGAAGGCUUUGGAUUCGCUGGCCACAACCUAAAUAUGUGGCUAUCUGUUGUUAGCAAAGCUUAAUUUUUCACAGCUACCUUUUGUUGCUUCCAAUUACUGACCUCUGAUGCUGAGAAUGAAAGGAACAGAGAUGAGUGGUUCCGCUGCAACAUAAACACGUAUACCUCUUGAUGGCUUAUCUGACAUUAUUGAAUCAAAUAGUGCCCACAUCAUGUAGAAUUCACGACAUUGUUGAGUGAAUUUGGUAAGGGUCACUAGACUUCUGUUUUUGUCCGGUUAAAGAGGAUUCAAAAGAAUAAAUAAAUAAAAAUUCUCAUCUUAAACCUUUUCUUGUUAACACAUCAAAUCACGGACCUUUAUGUUUUCUACUUUGAAGCAAAACCUAGAGUGUACUUUAGUUGAGAAAAAGCUAUGUCCUCCUUAAUUUUCCCUAUGCUUUGGAUCACACAUUUGAAAAUCUCAUGGUCAUCUACCAUAUCUCAGGACAUAAGGAGGGAGCUUGGCAUGUCUACUUCGA
rnacentral:lncRNA from 1 species